AGCAGCCGCGGUAAUUCCAGCUCCAAUAGCGUAUAUUAAAGUUGUUGCAGUUAAAAAGCUCGUAGUUGAAUUUCGGGAUCAAUACGUCGGUCGUGCUUCGGUACGUACUGGCGUCAUUGAUUUCUCCCUUCUGACGAACCAUGAUGUCAUUAACUUGGUGUCAUGGGAAAUCAGGACUGUUACUUUGAAAAAAUUAGAGUGUUUAAAGCAGGCUCACGCUUGAAUACAUUAGCAUGGAAUAAUGAAAUAGGACGUUCGAUCCUAUUUUGUUGGUUUUAGGAUCAACGUAAUGAUUAAUAGGGAUAGUUGGGGGCAUUAGUAUUCAAUUGUCAGAGGUGAAAUUCUUGGAUUUAUUGAAGACUAACUACUGCGAAAGCAUUUGCCAAGGAUGUUUUCAUUAAUCAAGAACGAAAGUUAGGGGAUCGAAGACGAUCAGAUACCGUCGUAGUCUUAACCAUAAACUAUGCC
rnacentral:misc_RNA from 1 species